AAAAGCAACAGGAUAUAACCUUUGUUCAUCAUUUUAUUCUCUAUGCAAAACCAUGGAGAUUACUCGAUAUAGAUUUUAGUAUCAAACCACUACACUGGGAUCCUCACAAAACAUUACAAUAUAUUCCCAACUCCAUAUUGACAUAUAUGCUUACCAACUAAACCGUGCCAAUAGUCAACACAUAGGUCUGAGUGAAACUUAUAGAGCCCAUACAGAUUCAAGCAACAAUCUUGCCCUACGCAUGGGGACACGUUAACAAGCAACAAAAUCUUUUCUUAGACUAUUUACUGGAAUUUGAUGUGCACCAAAACCUAUGGAGAAAGAAAAAUAACACAAACAUGUAGUUCUUAACCUUGUAGGCAGCAACCCAUCACGGAGCUGGUACUGCAUGCAGCUCGCAUGUUAAAAGAGGAAACCAUCACCUUUUAGAAACUAAACUCCGGGUAGGAAUAUUGUAGGAAUAUUGCAGUUGAAAUUCAAGGAGACAAGAUGAAGGCAAUUGCUGCUGCUCAAAACACUUUCCAUCUUCAACGAGAUCAGUCAAUGUCCAAGCUCGAAUAGGGUUCGUAACCAACCUGCAGUCAGCAAAAAAAUGCAACAGAAAGCGACCCUCAGAACAGCUGAUUUUGAAGCACUGUAUUUAUUAUUCUAUACUAAGAAAAGUUGCCUUAUAAAUGUGGUACGGACACCAGUACCAGAUCACCCGUCACUCGGGUUUACAAUCGCCAACAGGAGAAUGGUCCAGCCAGUUUCGUUGUGGUUUGAGUGAUUUUGUUUUAUUUUGAUAGCCUUUGGGCUUAUUUAGGUUUCUUUUUUAUCUUUGAGGGUCUUUGUGAGAUUAGCUUCUUUGUAGGGGUCUUUAUUGCAUUUUGGGUCUUAUAUAUAUGUUGGACCAUACGUUUGUAUGGGGUAUGCUAUGAAUGAAAAAUUGGUUCUCUUUUUUUAGCCCUAGUGUGAAGCCAAGAGCAAGAGUUAGGUGUGAAACCUAGUUUCCUUCCUCCACUUCUUUUUAUUUUCCUUCUUCUCCCCCUCCCUUCCUUGGUAUCAGCGCCAAGUUAAAAAAAAAAAUUUCUGGGCUACUGUGGGCAUUGCUUUUCACGUGGGGGCCUAGGCUUCAUGCGGGGGAAAAGGGUUUGGACCUCUCCUCCAAGGCUUCUUCUCUCUUAGCUGAGAAGCAAAAUCCCAAAAUCCCUUUCCUCCUUCCCGUGGCACACGAGAAAGAACGGGAAAGUCUUCUCCCCCCAGCCCGAGAUGGCUGGUGACCAGACGCAAGGGAGGAGGAAAAGCCGCCCGCCCAUCCGCGACGCUUCCUGUGCCCCCUAGUUCUUGCGGUGGCUCCCGAGGAAACGGAAAAGAAAACCCUGUUGUUGCCGCCCUUCGUUGGCUUGGAGGAGGCGGAGCUUGGGCUCAAGUUCUGUCCUUCGUUCGGAUCCAAGGAGAGGAGCACCGCCGGCCCCGAGCGCUCCGUCGCCCCGUGUCCAACCCUCACGACCCUCGACUCCUCGCCGCAAUAGCCCGCCAGUGCUGCUCCUUCGCUUCCUUUGGCCGCGGCUACCUCAUCGCCACCCACGGCUCCUCGCCCGGAAGUUACCGCGUUCCACGCGACACGUCGCCGCGGAAACAAGUAAU
rnacentral:lncRNA from 1 species